AUGCCCUGGAGGGAAUCCGUCCCGUGGCUCUCUGGGCAUUCCUUGGCUUGUAGCUGCAUCAUCCCAGUCUCUCUCCCUGUGGUCCCAUGGCCAUCCCCCCACGGGUGUCUGUGUCCACGUUUCCCUCCUCCUGCAGGGAUGCCCGUCACUGGACUCAGGGCCCCCUCCACUCUGACCUCGCCUUCCCUUGGCUGCAUCUGCAGUGACCCUAUUUCCACACAAGGUUCCACUCUGAAGUUGAGGCGGACACAAGUUUUGGGGGACACUAUUCAGCUCAAUAAGGGCCCUCCAUAUGUGACUGUGGCCCCUACCUGUCACUCACCAGAUGUGGCCCCUGGAGAUGCCCACUGGGAGGACUCCAGAGUCCCAUUCACUGUGACUCCCAAAGCUGCCACUGCUGGUGGGCCAGGCUCUGAGGACAGGACAGCAGCCCCUCCCAGCCUGGCAUGUGCCUGGCCCUGGGUCCCACGGUCACACAUGGUUCCUGAUCUGCCUUCCAGACGUGUGGGCUCACCCAUCCAUGGGGCCAGGAGGAUGUGGAUGCCACUCCACCCCUCCCUGGGUCCUUGCCCUUCAGCUCCAGGCUCCACGUCCUUCAAGCAGGGAUGGUGCCUCUCCUACCUAGUGACACUCUGUAACAGGUGGGAUGUGGACAGGGACCCAGGCCUUUCUUGCAAGUGGGAGCCGGUGGGCGAGUCUGCCAUGCUGAUUGCUGCCAGUCAUUACUCGGGCAUGUGGAGGGCCCAACACAGGUGCUCAGUGCUUGGACCCAAAGUCAGGACCCCCAGCUUUUGGGGGAGUGACCAGGAAAUGGCAAGGUCCACCCCAAGAAUGAGAUCUGCACUGGGCCAGGCUGGUGGCCUGCCAUCAGUGGGUCUUCACAUGGCAGAUGUCUCAGAACCAGGUUGUUUGCCUGGGGCAGGACCAAGGAGAGGGGUGGCGAGGGGCAGGGCCACUGCAGGCCCCAGGAGCAGGCUGCAGGGAGAGGGGAGGGAUGCCAGCUCUGUGGGUGCGAGUGCCAGCCCUCCCGGCAGCCCACAGCGCAGACCUGUGAGUCCAGUCCGCAUUGGACCUUGGUCCCCAAGAGACUGA
rnacentral:lncRNA from 1 species